rnacentral:rRNA from 1 species
AAAACAUGGUUUUUUGGAUUUAAAUAAAAAAUUUGACCUGCUCUAUGAUAUUUAUUAAAUGGCUGCAGUAUUUUGACUGUACAAAGGUAGCAUAAUCAUUUGUUUCUUAAUUAGAAUCUGGGAUGAAUGGUUGGACGAGGCGUAGUCUUUAUUUAUACAAUAAAUAAAAUUUAAUAUUUGAUUUAAAAAGAUUAAAUAUUUUUAAAAGACGAGAAGACCCUAUAGAACUUUACUUAUAUCAUUAUUUACUGAAAUAAGUUGUGUUGGGGUGACCAAGGGAUUUUAUAAACUCCUUUAUAUUAAAAUCAUUAAUUUAUGAUUUAAUGAUCUUGUAUUAUAGAUUUAAAGUCUAAGUUACCUUAGGGAUAACAGCGUAAUUGUUUUGGAGAGUUCUUAUUAAUAAAGCAGUUGCGACCUCGAUGUUGGAUUAAAAUUAGGAGAAUGGAAGGUGAAGAAGCUUUUUUUCUAGGUCUGUUCGACCUUUAAAUUUUUACAUGAUCUG